GGGACCAUCCUCCAAGGCUAAAUACUCGUAAUCGACCGAUAGCGAACCAGUACUGUGAAGGAAAGGCGAAAAGAACCCCGGGAGGGGAGUGAAAUAGAUCCUGAAACCGCAUACAUACAAACAGUAGGAGCCCGCAAGGGUGACUGCGUACCUUUUGCAUAAUGGGUCAGCGACUUACGUUCAAUGGCAAGCUUAACCGAGUAGGGGAGGCGCAGCGAAAGCGAGUCCGAACAGGGCGAUAUGAGUCGUUGGGCGUAGACCCGAAACCAGAUGAUCUAUCCAUGGCCAGGCUGAAGGUGUGGUAACACACACUGGAGGGCCGAACCGACUAGUGUUGCAAAAUUAGCGGAUGAGCUGUGGAUAGGGGUGAAAGGCUAAACAAAUCUGGAGAUAGCUGGUUCUCCCCGAAAACUAUUGAGGUAGUGCCUCGUGUAUGGCUCCAGGGGGUAGAGCACUGUUAUGGCUAGGGGGACAUGGCGUCUUACCAAACCAUGGCAAACUCCGAAUACUUGGAAGUCUGAGCACGGGAGACAGAGCACCGGGUGCUAACGUCCGGACUCAAAAGGGAAACAACCCAGACCGCCGGCUAAGGUCCCUAAUAUUGACUAAGUGGAAAACGAAGUGGGAAGGCUAAGACAGUCAGGAAGUUGGCUUAGAAGCAGCCAUCCUUCAAAGAAAGCGUAAUAGCUCACUGAUCGAGUCUUCCUGCGCGGAAGAUGUAACGGGGCUAAGUCAAUAACCGAAGCCGCGGAUUCGCAGCAAUGCGAGUGGUAGGGGAGCGUUCUGUAAGCCUGCGAAGGCGGAUCCGCGAGGACCGCUGGAGGUAUCAGAAGUGCGAAUGCUGACAUGAGUAACGUUAAAGCGGGUGAAAAGCCCGCUCGCCGCAAGCCCAAGGUUUCCUGCUCUACGUUCAUCGGAGCAGGGUGAGUCGGCCCCUAAGGUCAGGCUGAGAAGCGUAGCUGAUGGGAAGCUGGUUAAUAUUCCAGCACCGAUUUCAAGUGCGAAGGGGGGACGGAGUCCUGAAGGUCAUCCGGGUGUUGGACAUCCCGGUUUACGAGCGUAGGAGGUUGACAGGCAAAUCCGUCAACGGAUCUCCAAGGCGAAGGAUCGAGGUUGAGAGAUCAACUGAAGUGACUGAAUGGGCUUCCAGGAAAAGCCUCUAAGCAUCAGCUUGGAAUUGACCGUACCGCAAACCGACACUGGUGGGCGAGCUGAAUAUGCUCAGGCGCUUGAGAGAACUCAGGAGAAGGAACUCGGCAAAUUGACACCGUAACUUCGGGAUAAGGUGUGCCUUUGUAGUGUGAAGAGAGAAACACUCCGAGCAUGAAGAGGCCUCAGAGAAUCGGUGGCUGCAACUGUUUACUAAAAACACAGCACUCUGCAAAGAUGAAAGUCGACGUAUAGGGUGUGAUGCCUGCCCGGUGCUGGAAGAUUAAUUGAUGGGGUGCAAGCUCCUGAUCGAAGUCCCAGUAAACGGCGGCCGUAACUAUAACGGUCCUAAGGUAGCGAAAUUCCUUGUCGGGCAAGUUCCGACCUGCACGAAUGGCAUAAUGAUGGCCACACUGUCUCCUCCUGAGACUCAGUGAAGUUGAAAUGUUUGUGAUGAUGCAAUCUCCCCGCGGCUAGACGGAAAGACCCCAUGAACCUUUACUGCAGCUUUGCAUUGGACUUUGAACCGAUCUGUGUAGGAUAGGUGGGAGGCAGUGAAGCUAGGACGCCAGUCUUAGCGGAGCCAACCUUGAAAUACCACCCUGAUUUGUUUGAGGUUCUAACCUAGGAGCGUAAUCCGCUUCGGGGACCGUGCAUGGUAGGCAGUUUGACUGGGGCGGUCUCCUCCUAAAGGGUAACGGAGGAGUGCGAAGGUACGCUAGGUACGGUCGGAAAUCGUGCUGAUAGUGCAAUGGCAAAAGCGUGCUUGACUGCGAGACCGACAAGUCGAGCAGAUACGAAAGUAGGUCAUAGUGAUCCGGUGGCUCUGCAUGGAAGGGCCAUCGCUCAACGGAUAAAAGGUACUCUGGGGAUAACAGGCUGAUACCGCCCAAGAGUUCAUAUCGACGGCGGUGUUUGGCACCUCGAUGUCGGCUCAUCUCAUCCUGGGGCUGUAGCCGGUCCCAAGGGUAUGGCUGUUCGCCAUUUAAAGAGGUACGUGAGCUGGGUUUAAAACGUCGUGAGACAGUUUUGUCCCUAUCUGCCGUGGGCGUUGGAAGAUUGACGGGGGCUGCUCCUAGUACGAGAGGACCGGAGU
rnacentral:rRNA from 1 species